CCUCGGUUUUAUGGUCCUUCACUUCUAAGCGUUCGGAGUAGGAUACAAGCUCCUGCAAACUGUUUUGGUUUUGGAGCAGUAGGGAAUGCAGAAGGGAAGUUUUCCAACUCCUCUUUAACAUAACCUUCCCAGAUCCCACUCCUGGCCCUGCUGUGAGCUCUGCAAACAGCCAUCAGCCACACAGUCCAACACGUGUAUGUUUUACCCUUCCACAAGCAUGCUCCAGAGCCUUUGCAAAAACCCUUUUAGAAGAGAAACUCAUUUUGAACUUUUAAAGAACACAAGGUCAGAGGUUUUACAUCAGAGGUGAAUAUGAUCUACAGUUUGUCAAAAGGAGAAGGUGAAUAUCACCCCAACCUCUGCAGGCAGAGCUCUGCAGACUGUAGAGGUCAGAAUACCAGCUGUAAGGCCAGGCCUGAAGGCCUACAGGUGAGGAUGCAGGUUCUAGGGAGGGCAUUUAAGCACAGUUUGCACCUCUGUGAUAAUGCUGAUGAUGCCCAGUAAAAGUGCGGUGGGAGCCUUGUGCCAGAAGGUGAGGAAAAAUAUCUGUAGGACUAUCUAAGUGAAAAUGUUUGAAAGUUGAGGGCACACGUUGAGUUCACAAAAGGAAAUGCUGGUUUCUGUUGCAAUGUUGGUUACACAAUCACAUAAGGUUUUAUUUUUAAAAGCAAGUAAAAAAUUACAGUGCAUCAACUCCUCAACUGGUGUAAAUCAGCGUGGUUUUAUUGACUUUGAUGGGGCUAUGUCAAUUUAUACCAGAUGAGGAUUUGGCCCACUGUAUGGAGAUAUUUUUAUUUCUCUUCUCACCCUAUCAGUUAAGGAAAGGGUAAUAAUCAGAAAGCUGGAAGCAAUUACGUGUGUGUGAGGAGGGGGUAGUUUCAUAAUAGCUAACGAUAUUAUUUCCUGUAAAAUGCAUCAGGAGAAUAGAGCUGGAGCCUGCUGACCAGUUUGUUUUGUAAAGAAAUAUUUGUUCGAAUCUGUUUAUAAUAAUUUGUCGGCGAUGGACGGGCUGGGCUCAAGCAUUUGCCUUCCACCAGCGGCAGAGGCGGCAGCACUGCAGCUUGCAGGGCAGCGAGGGGCAGCUGGAAACAGACCAGGCGAAAUUUGGGUUUCAUUCGCACCCAUGUAAAUCCAGAGGGAUCCUACCCAGAUCGGUGGAAAUACUCGCUAUUUACAACAGCGUGCCUAAAAACAAAAUUUGGCAGAGAUUUCAAGUAAGCAUUUAUAAGCUGUUUCUGGCAGCAAAUAAGAAUGGGGGAGGGGAAGAUUAUUCAUCGCAGAUGCUUUGUUAAGAUUAGCAGAGGCUUUCUGGUGACAGUAAUGUCUGCUAACAUAGUCACUUGUGGAAAAUGCUUUUUAAAAUGCGAUUCGAGUGAGUUUUCUGGUAUGCCUUAAUUUCUGAAGCAUUUCAUGGCAAAAAGCACUAACCAAGAGCUGGAGCUCAGUGACCUAAAUCAUCCCUCUUUAUGCCGGCUGGGCAGAUUGGCCCCCAGCUGCGGUACCA
rnacentral:lncRNA from 1 species